rnacentral:rRNA from 1 species
AAAUAGAUACCCAGGUAGUCCACGCCGUAAACGAUGGAUGCUAGCUGUUAGGAGUACCGACCCUUCUAGUAGCGAAGCUAACGCGUUAAGCAUCCCGCCUGGGGAGUACGGUCGCAAGAUUAAAACUCAAAGGAAUUGACGGGGACCCGCACAAGUGGUGGAGCGUGUUCUUUAAUUCGACGAUAAGCGAAGAACCUUACCAGGGCUUGACAUCCUGCUAAUUUCUCCGAAAGGAGAAAGUGCCUUCGGGCCGCAGUGACAGGUGUUGCAUGGCCGUCGUCAGCUCGUGUCGUGAGAUGUUAGGUUAAGUCCUUCAACGAGCGCAACCCUUAUGUUUAGUUGGAUUUUUCUAAACAGACUGCCUCGGUAACGGGGAGGAAGGAGGGGAUGAUGUCAGGUCAUUAUUGCCCUUACGUCCUGGGCUAGAAACGCGCUACAAUGGCCGGUACAAAGGGCAGCCAACCCGCGAGGGAGAGCAAAUCCCAUCAAAACCGGUCCCACGUUCGGAUUGCAGGCUGAAACUCGCCUGCAUGAAGCCGGAAUCACUAGUAAUCGU